GAUGAACGCUGGCGGCGUGCCUAAUACAUGCAAGUCGAGCGAACAUAUAAGGAGCUUGCUCCUUUGACAUUAGCGGCGGACGGGUGAGUAACACGUGGGUAACCUACCUAUAAGACUGGAAUAACUCCGGGAAACCGGGGCUCAGGCCGGAUAACAUUUAGAACCGCAUGGUUCUAAAGUGAAAGAUGCUUUUGCUAUCCCUUAUAGAUGGUCCCGCGCCGGAUUAGCUAGUUGGUAAGGUAACGGUUUACCAAGGCAACGAUACGUAGCCGACAUGAGAGGGAGAUCGGCCACACUGGAACGGAGACACGGCCCAGAGUCCGACGGGAGGCAGCAGUAGGGAAUCUGCCGGGAUGGGGGAAAGCCUGACGGAGCAACGCCGCGUGCGUGAUGAAGGUAUUCUGAUCGUAAAACUCUGUUAUUAGGGAAGAAAAAAUGUGUAAGUAACUGUGCACGUCUUGACGGUACCUAAUCAGAAAGCCACGGCUAACUACGUG
rnacentral:rRNA from 1 species